AGGAAGAUGCGUCGAUGAGGAAGAGGAGGGGCGGAUCUGUAAGCAGAGUCAGAGUCAGCUCAACUUGUGUCUUGCAGAGCAGAGAAGAAGAGCAGCAGACCUGUAUCAGCUCCGGUCCUUGUUGCUAAAUCAGGGAGAAGCUGCGCGCCGGCUCCAUAUCUCUACUCCCUGUUGACUGCACUCUACAGGACGAGUGGGACGACCUAUAGCAGGGUGAGUCCUGAGUCCAGGUCCUCACUGAAAACAAGCGGCAGCAGAGGAGAGGAAUACAGACGGUCCUGUGAUCGCCCGCGUCAUGCCCCUGAUGUUCCUGGACUGGUUCGUACCCGUUUACCUGCUGGUGUCGGUGCUGGUGCUGGUCGGGUUCGGCGCCUGCCUCUACUUCCUGGAGCCGGGCCUGCAGGACCCCCACAAGUGGAGCAACAAGUCUGUGCAGCACCCCCCUCUGACCGUCGCCAGGAACGGCAAGGAGGAGGAAGGCAAGGUGCUGACAUGACGAAGGACAAAGAAAAAACAAGGGAAAGAGAGAGAGUCUAAACUCUCAUCUUCUCAGCUGUUGGAGUUGGUACAGUAUACUGUGCUGUAGCAUAGAAUUCUGGAGUUAAAGGUAGAGUCUGCAAUUCUAAGAUAAUAGACUUGGUCUUAAAACUCCUCGCGCUCCUUUAGCAUGUCCAUUCAAUGUUUGCACUAAAACAGCUCCUGUGUAAGUACACCCAGCCCCAGGUCUGUAACAAACAUGGCCCAGACAAAGCCAUGAACAAUUCCAGCCAAUCAACAUGUUGCUUCAGAAGCAAGAGGUGAUUGACUGUUGAGCUUGAAUGUCAACAACCCUCCGCCAGAAUCGCAGACUGUACCUUUAAUUAAUACCUGUUUGUUUCUCUUGUACGAGAGAGGUGGUCAUGAAACAUAUGAUUUAAAGAAAUGUUGCUGACUUCCCAGGAUUUUAUAGUUAACAUCAGCCUAAAUAAUUAACAUUCAGAGACAUUUUUGGCCUUAGUAAUUCAAGAGGAGGUCUUAAGUAAAUAACAUUUGUGAGACUGAUGAUUCCAGUUCUUAAAUCCUACUUUGUAGUGUUUUUGACAAAAAGCCAUGAAAUUGCAAAUGUGAAAGUUCAGAGGUCAAUCCUCAGUAUGCACUUUAGAAUAUACAUAACAUAUAUGACCGUCUGUCUGUGAAUUUUAGAUUGAAUGGAUAUGAACCUUUUGAAUCAUCGAUAAGUUGAAUGCCAAAUAUUGUGUUGGUGCAAAACCAUUGUUUUGUGAGUGCCAAAUGCAUUGUGGGUCACGCUGAUACUGUUACUUCCUUAACUCUUUUAGAUCGACAGUAAAAGUUAUUUAAUCUCUGCAAUAAUGAAGUGUGUGUGUGAAUUGUAAAUUAG